rnacentral:rRNA from 1 species
UCCUUGCGGGCGGUCCAACUAAUAUCCCAUCGCGGUGCUCUUCACUGAGUGUCGAGGUGGGCCGAUACGUUUACUUUGAAAAAAUUAGAGUGCUUAAAGCAGGCUACCUUUGCCUGAAUACUGUGUGCAUGGAAUAAUGGAAUAGGACCUCGGUUCUAUUUUGUUGGUUUUCGGAACCCCGAGGUAAUGAUUA